CAUCCGAUACGCCACCGCAAACCCUACCUCCUCAUCCUCCCUCUCGUCUCAGAUCCACAGCCGCCGCACUAAUCCUCUCUUUGUGCCUCAGAUCCAGCCCACUGCACCUCGCUCCACCACCUCCUCGGCCUCUGGCGCCGCCUCCCCUCCUCCGCCGGCCGCAUGGGCGUGGAGGUCGAGGUGGAGGUGGAGCCCCAGCAGCACUGCAGCAGCAGCUCGCGUCGGGACGGAUAGACGAGGCGCGUGGCGGCCGGCGGCGGGCCUCUGGCCAUGUGCGGCCAUGGUGCGGGUGAGUUCGCCGGCGUCCCAAUCGUCGUCCCCAGCAAGGGAAGCAGCGCCUGAGGCCUGUUCUUCGGCCAUCUUCCCCGCAGCGAGGAUGGCACGGAGCUGCAGCGGCAGAGGUACGGCCGUCUUCCUCAACCUCAGAUCCGCGUGCAAACAUGGUGAUCCGGUUCCUCUACUGCAAGCCGAUGACGAGCAAGCAGGUCGCACACGGCCUGGGCAGUAGGUAGCCUGGUGGUCCUCCAUAUCAACAGCCAGAUGAGGCUGCUUCGCUCUAGCUCCAUCCAGGUUGUAAUUUCUAUUCCCCCUUUUUUCACCUAGCCACGACUCCCCAAACCCACCUUGCCUCCUCUCCUCUCAUCCUUGCACCUUUAAAUGAUUAUUGAACCCGCUGCCUUGUUGUCUCACACCCCACUGCUUGAUUCGUAUAACCUGAUUCAUAUGCCUGUGUUAUUAAUCCAUACUUCAGCUCUAAACCAUGAUGUGCAGAGAUAAACGAGACCAUGUUAUGUUCAAUUCAUUCGGUUACUUACCAGAUAAAGCAAUGCAGUCAAACACAGAUCUGUUGUUGUUUGCUUGAUUGUUCCACGAUGCAUGCCUGAUUAGCAUCUCUCAGAUUUGAUUAGCAUGUCUCUGAAUAUUAUCUCCUUGCCUUGGCAAAUGUAAAAAAAAACUAAUAAGUUCGAUACGCAGAACAGUUGCAGCUCGACUUCUAGCUUGGUCUGAUGGUGCUAAUAUCGACUUGGACUCACAAAGGAAAGGGAAUUGUGUUGUUCUCGAGACAUCCACGAGACAAGAUGAAAUGGUAGAAGGAACAAACAAUGAGAAGAGAUUGGAAAUUUGAAGGCAAAUGCUGGAAUAUUUGAUGUUUUUGUUUCUAGUGUUGCUUUUGAUGCAAGAUGAAUGUAACUUGCAUGUAAAUUUUGAGGUGCUUCUCAAUGUAAAUCAUAUGAUAUUGUAUUUGAUUUGAUGCUGUGGUAAAUGGUCUUACAAUUUUGGUAUAUAUAUUCUGGGCUGUAAUGACUAUUCUAAUAAAAGGAUUGAAAUUAGGCCCAAUUUGGUGGCUCACUCUGAA